rnacentral:sRNA from 1 species
AGGUCCUGGGAUCUUCCUGCGCCUGAGAUGCAGGAAGCGUUCUAUAUCUUUCUAAAGGGCCUCGAGGUACUUUUUGGGGACCUUUCCAUGGCACAGAAUGUACAUGUGCGAAAUGACGUAGGUCCGCUAUUUUGAAGGCUCAAAUCAUUUUUGAUGCUAAAAUAGGAUCAGAGAGAGGCAUUAGCCUUGUAAAUGAUCAGUAUUGUUAUUGAAGACAAGGUUAAAAAUAUUAGAGCACCAGUAACUUCGAUUAGGAAGAGAGACAGAUAUCUUGGUUCAUCUCAUGGCUAACUACUAGUACAAUGGAAAGAAUUGGAAAAUAACUUGAAUAUCGACAUUUGAAACCGAGUUCAUAUACUAAACUGAGAAUGACAAGC